rfam:Halobacterium sp. NRC-1, complete genome.
GGCCGCCGAGGAUACCCGAAGCCGCAGCGAUGCGGCUGGUCGAGAAAUUCGCC